rnacentral:tRNA from 1 species
UCCUGGGUGGUGCUAAUGGUUAAAGUGCUUGGCUACUAACCAAAAGGUUGGUGGUUCAAGUCCACCCUGAGGUG